GUGGAAACCUUUCAGUUAUAAACACUUAGAAAAUCUGUCUAUGACGCUUUUCAUUGCCAGAUAAAAUAGAUUAGUAUUUUGACCCCAAAAAAAGAAUGCCAAUUUAACUAUUGAUUAUGUUCUUGAGAUGAAAUAAAACCAAGUUGUUUUAUUUAUCUAGAUAAGACAGGCUUCUUUAACUCCCACUGUUUUUUUUCUCCUGCUAAAAACAUCUGGACUUCUGAAACAUCAAAACAUGCCUCUUCAGACCUGUGAAAACAACCAAUAUUAUUUAGACAGGAUAAAACAACAUUAUUUAGACAGGUGAAAACAUUAUUUAGACAGGUGAAAACAUUAUUUAAACAGGUGAAAACAUUAUUUAAACAGGUGAAAACAUUAUUUAGACAGGUGAAAACAUUAUUUAGACAGGUGAAAACAUUAUUUAGACAGGAUAAAACAACAUUAUUUAGACAGGAUAAAACAACAUUAUUUAGACAGGUGAAAACAUUAUUUAGACAGGAUAAAACAACAUUAUUUAGACAGGUGAAAACAUUAUUUAGACAGGAUAAAACAAC
ensembl:lncRNA